UGACCUCGUGAUCCACCCGCCUUGGCCUCCCAAAGUGCUGGGAUUAUAGGCGUGAGCCACCGCGCCCGGCCAAAAUAAGAAUUUUAAAUAAGCAAUUUAACAGAUCUGUUUUAUAAGCUCUAUCUAUAUACACCCAUAAUAAGGAGUUAGGGUGCACUAAAUUCUCUCAGAGAAACAAACUGAAGUACCUGAGCCUUUGGAAGAACAAAUGGUCAUUUCUUGAGACAUUUGGGUUGCUUCCACCUUUUGGCUAUUGAAAAUAAUGCUGAUGUGAACAUGGCUGAAUGAACAUUCUUUUCAAGUUCCCUAUCAUCAGUUCUUUUGCGUGUAUACUCAGAAGUGAAAUUGUUGGAUUAUAUGCUACUGAAGCCUGGAGUGAAUGCCUGACCACUAUACAAGAUCGCAGAAAAGGUAAUGAGCAGAAAAGCUCAGAAAAUAUAUGCACAAAAUGUUGCAUGGCUUAUCCAUCUGCUGUAAACAUAAACAUUUAUUUUAUUUCAUAAAAACAUUUCUCUUAAUGUAGUAAAAACAUAUUAAAUUAGUAAGAACUUAUUUUAAAAUUGAAUAUUUAGUCUAUGAAGACACUAUGAACUUUUUCUAACCUAAAAUAAAAUCAUUAUUUUUAAAUGUGAUACCUUAAGA
rnacentral:lncRNA from 13 species